CCGAGUUUAGCCGUUAACAUGAACUAACCUGCUACUUUAGCGAACACACUUAGCUAGGUAGCCUGCUUGUCCACCUUCUCCUAGUUAAGCUACUUUUUAAGCUACUUUUAAGCUGUUUUUAUUGUUUUUAUUAGACCAUGUCGGGAAGGAGAAAAGAUACAGUUUCAGACGAAAAAUGAUGAACAAUGGGAAGAAACACUCUCAAGACCAGGCUUCUCAAGACUUCUUGAUAGGAUCAAAGCGGCAGGGUUCAUCAUCUCUCAGGUGAAGGAAACUCCUUACAAGAGAAAUGGCAGAGAAAGUUUAUGAAUAUCACAAAGGCAAGAGCUUCUUCAGCGCCUUAGUAGACAACAUGUCACAGUAUGUGAGGCCCAUCUGUCAUGAUGAUUCUGAGCAAGGAGAAUGCCAUUGCUGAGUGGAGAGAGCUAAUGGGGCCUGCUGACUCCGAACUGGCUCAAAAAUGCAGUCCCAGCUCCCUCUGAGCCCAGUUUGCCUUGAGUAUUCUGGAGAAUGCAGUACACGGCUCUUCUGAUGCAAAACAUGCUAUCGAUAAUAUUAAGUUCAUCUUUGGAGAUGUUGCCAAUUAGGGGAUCACAAUAAUAAAAAAGGUUCAAUUUGUC